rnacentral:misc_RNA from 1 species
ACAAGUUUAGCGUUUAUUCAAUUAAUUUAAAAUGUCCACGAAUCAGUGUAAUUGUUGUUUAAGUCUCUUUUCUUGUAUUCUUGUAUUGUUCUAACUUUGGUUUGAUCACGUGGUGUAUGAACCACGUGACUCGUUUACCUAUAUCAGUAUUACUUUUGUAAUUAGACGUGUGUUGGUCGCGGUAGAUCUCACGUUAGCUGUGUUUUACAUUUCUCAAAUGCAAAAUAAAUCAAUAAAAUACGUCAAUAUUUAC